CUUUGUGAGAUGAGAAAAUGUUUCUUGUUUCUACAUUUUUGACCCCAUCUUUCUGUGGCAGUAGUACAUUCUGAGUGUGUUUUUUGCCAGGCAGAGCUAAAUGGAGGGAUAACCUGGGCCAAGGAACCGCAUUGAGGCAGUGAGGAUUUGGAUUUGGGAUGGUAUUGACUGAGCCAUGGGAGCCCAAACAUCUGCCAAAGCCAGCAACAGGAAACCUCAACAGCUGGUAAAUGACCUGCAAACACUGCCUGCCUCAAAUUGCAAUAACAAUGAAGAGAUCGCUUUUUCACAAAGUGGAGAGUAAAUAUAAGGAAUUUACGGACUGUAUUAGCCUCCAGAGAUUUUUAUGAGCAGAAUAAAAAAUGACAGAGAUCCAUGAAA